rnacentral:rRNA from 1 species
GACGAACGCUGGCGGCGUGCUUAACACAUGCAAGUCGAACGGAAAGGCCCUGCUUUUGUGGGGUGCUCGAGUGGCGAACGGGUGAGUAACACGUGAGUAACCUGCCCUUGACUUUGGGAUAACUUCAGGAAACUGGGGCUAAUACCGGAUAGGAGCUCCUGCUGCAUGGUGGGGGUUGGAAAGUUUCGGCGGUUGGGGAUGGACUCGCGGCUUAUCAGCUUGUUGGUUGGGCAGAGGCUUACCAAGGCUUUGACGGGUAGCCGGCCUGAGAGGGUGACCGGCCACAUUGGGACUGAGAUACGGCCCAGACUCCUACGGGAGGCAGCAGUGGGGAAUAUUGCACAAUGGGCGGAAGCCUGAUGCAGCAACGCCGCGUGCGGGAUGACGGCCUUCGGGUUGGAAACCGCUUUCGCCUGUGACGAAGCGUGAGUGACGGUAAUGGGUAAAGAAGCACCGGCUAACUACGUG